UACAGAGGCCUCGAGCGUUGUUCGGAAUUACUGGGCGUAAAGGGCAUGUAGGCGGUAACGUAAGUCAGAUGUGAAAGCCCUGGGCUUAACCCGGGAAGUGCAUUUGAUACUGCGUUGCUAGAGUGCGAGAGAGGAAAGUGGAAUUCCCAGUGUAGGGGUGAAAUCCGUAGAUAUCGGGAAGAACACCCGUGGCGAAGGCGGCUCUCUGGGACGGUACUGACGCUGAGACGCGAAAGCGUGGGGAGCGAACAGG
rnacentral:rRNA from 1 species